CACGUGCUACAAUGGCGUAAACAGAGGGAAGCAGCCCUGUGAAGGUGAGCAAAUCCCAAAAUAACGUCCCAGUUCGGAUUGUAGUCUGCAACCCGACUACAUGAAGCUGGAAUCGCUAGUAAUCGCGAAUCAGAAUGUCGCGGUGAAUACGUUCCCGGGCCUUGUACACACCGCCCGUCAAGCCAUGGGAGCCGGGGGCGCCUGAAGUCCGGGACCGCGAGGACCGGCCUAGGGCGAAACUGGUAACUGGGGCUAAGUCGUAACAAGGUAAC
rnacentral:rRNA from 1 species